rnacentral:rRNA from 1 species
GACGAACGCUGGCGGCGUGCCUAACACAUGCAAGUCGAACGGAACUGUUUUGAAAGAUUUCUUCGGAAUGAAUUUGAUUUAGUUUGGUGGCGGACGGGUGAGUAACGCGUGAGUAACCUGCCUUCAAGAGGGGGAUAACAUUCUGAAAAGAAUGCUAAUACCGCAUGACAUAUCGGAAUCACAUGAUUUUGAUAUCAAAGAUUUUAUCGCUUGAAGAUGGACUCGCGUCCGAUUAGUUAGUUGGUGAGGUAACGGCUCACCAAGACCGCGAUCGGUAGCCGGACUGAGAGGUUGAACGGCCACAUUGGGACUGAGACACGGCCCAGACUCCUACGGGAGGCAGCAGUGGGGGAUAUUGCGCAAUGGGGGCAACCCUGACGCAGCAACGCCGCGUGAAGGAUGAAGGUUUUCGGAUUGUAAACUUCUUUUAUUAAGGACGAAAAAUGACGGUACUUAAUGAAUAAGCUCCGG